CAGCACAUGUCGCAGUCAGCCUAA
rnacentral:piRNA from 1 species